rnacentral:rRNA from 1 species
UACAGAGGUCCCGAGCGUUGUUCGGAUUCAUUGGGCGUAAAGGGUGCGUAGGCGGUCUUCUAAGUUUGAUGUGAAAGCCCGGGGCUCAACCCCGGAAUUGCCUUUAAGACUGCAUCGCUUGAAUCCGGGAGAGGUGAGUGGAAUUCCGAGUGUAGAGGUGAAAUUCGUAGAUAUUCGGAAGAACACCAGUGGCGAAGGCGGCUCACUGGACCGGUAUUGACGCUGAGAUGCGAAAGCGUGGGGAGCAAACAGG